rnacentral:rRNA from 1 species
UGGCCGCGGUAUUUUGACCGUGCAAAGGUAGCAUAAUAAUUAGGUUAUUAAUUGUAAUCUUGAAUGAAAGGUUUGACGUAAAAAUUACUUUCUUAUUUUUAAAGAUGAAUUUAAAUUAUAAGUAAGAAUGCUUAUAUUAAAAAUUAAACGAGAANACCCUAUUAAGCUUUAUAUGUAGUGUUGAUACUUUUAGAGUGUAGUAAAUUACUAUAUAUUUUGCUGGGGCGGUAAAUAAUUAUUAAACAUUGUGUGUUAUUUCUUUUAUAGAAGUGUGAAUGAUCCAUAAUUUGUGAUUAAUAGAUUAAGCUACUAUAGGGAUAACAGUACAAUUAUAUCAGAGAGUUCUUAUUGAUGAUAUUGGUUGUAACCUCGAUGUUGAAUUAAGAGUUCUUUUAAAUGCAGAAGUUUUUUAAGAUAGUCUGUUCGACUAUUAAAUUUUUACA